GGUGUGACUCAGUGGAAGGCACUCUGCUUUGCAGGCAGAAGAUCCCAGGUUCAGUCCCUGGCAUAUGCA
rnacentral:tRNA from 1 species